UCCCUGGAGGACUAGUUGUUAGGCCUCCGCGUUCUCACCGCCGGGGUCCGGGUUCGAUUCCCAGCCAGGGAA